rnacentral:lncRNA from 1 species
GGUGGAGAAAAACUUCUUUUCCCAUAAGUCUUCCAAAGACAAGGUUGUAAAUUUAAUCGCUUUAACUUUAUAACUCCACGUGAAAGAAAUAACAAAGGAGGCACAAACAGAGUGCUUAGAAAAUAAUUGAUUAGAUCAUAUCAACAUUCACUGUCUCUAUAAUCAUAGGAUUAUAGAAUGGAAGCUUAAAAAGAUAGUAAGGCCAUAAGGACCACUCUCUUCAUUUACAGAUGAAAUAACGAAGACCCAAGGAGAUUCCAGUGACUUUUCCAAGAUCAUAGAUACUGUCAGAUCCAGAAUUUGAACACACAGUCCCUUUGAUUUUAAAUCCAGUGGUCUUUCUACUACUCUAAAGAAAUUACUGAAAGUAAUAUGAUCCCAUACACACUUGUAAACAUAGAUGUGAGUGAAUUUACACAGCACUGCCAAUUUCAUUGCAGCAGAUCAGAGUGCUGAGCUUUCGAUCAGGAAGACCUUAGUUCAAAUUCUCUCUGAGACUCUUAGCAGCUGUGUGACCCUCAGCAAGUCACAUAACUUGUCUUAGUCUCAAUUUCUUCAUCUUUAAAAUGAGAAGGUUGGUUUUGAUGUCUUCCAAUGCCCUUUUCAACUCUCAAACUACAAUUCUCUCCAAACCAUUGUUCAAAGUGGGUCACUUCUUUCAAGUGUGUUUUCUGAAUAACUAAAUUUCAUUAAUUAAACCACUGGUGUCAAACUCAAAAGGAAACAGGGGCCACUAAAUUGUACAUCAACAUCCCUGGCUCCUGCAUAUUGACUCAUAAAACUAUCCAUAUUUAUAUAUUUCAUCAUCAACACUUUAAAAUUAGAGAGGAACUACUACACUUUAGUCUUGUUCAGGUGAUUUUUCAGGAAGGGCCAUGUUUGAUAUCUCUUGUCUAAAUCAUCAAUUUCUAGGUCUAUGAAUAAUGGGAAAGCAACAGGAGUGGAGGUUAUAUGUUCUUAUCAGGAAUUUUUCUCCAUCCCUGUCUUGGACAAGAAGAAGAUUUACCAAGAGCUGAGUCAACAGACUAAUGGAAUAACAAGGCUCGGAGGUUAUAUUCUAGAUGAGGAAAGCCUGUAUGUGGAUGCUGGUGAUGCUGUGGUGGGGCCAGUCACACCAGCCCAAGGUCAUGGAGCACCAAGACUCACAGUAGCACUGAUAAGGAGUCCCCUGACUCCUGUGUCUACUAUUAUUCCCACAGGUAAGGUACCUCCUCUCUGUCUCUGUGUUGGAAGUUUACCCUUUUUAGGGCCUUGUUUCCCAGUCUUACAGAGGAAACAUGAAAUUAUUUUAGAGAUCAAUCCUCAAGAACUCUUCUGAACCUCUGAUUCUUUUCUAUGUACAGCCUGGAGAAGAGGAGUUUUAGAGGUAGGAGUGAGGUUCUCACUGCUAAGGUCUUUAAAUAAUAAAUCUUAGGCAUGAAGUUGGAAAGAACCUUAA